GCAGUUGUUGUAAAAUAGUUGUAAGUAUUCCCGCCUGUCACGUGGUUGACCCGGGUUCGAUCCCCUGCAACGGCC
rfam:Picea glauca, whole genome shotgun sequence.